AAACCAACAGGGAUUACCUUAGUAACGGCGAGUGAAGCGGUAACAGCUCAAAUUUGAAAUCUGGCUCUUUCAGGGUCCGAGUUGUAAUUUGUAGAAGAUGCUUCGGGUGUGGUCCCGGUCUAAGUUCCUUGGAACAGGACGUCAUAGAGGGUGAGAAUCCCGUAUGUGACUGGGUGCCUUCGCUCAUGUGAAGCUCUUUCGACGAGUCGAGUUGUUUGGGAAUGCAGCUCUAAAUGGGUGGUAUAUUUCAUCUAAAGCUAAAUAUUGGCCAGAGACCGAUAGCGCACAAGUAGAGUGAUCGAAAGAUGAAAAGCACUUUGGAAAGAGAGUUAAACAGUACGUGAAAUUGUUGAAAGGGAAGCGCUUGCAACCAGACUUGCCCGCCGUCGAUCAUCCGGGGUUCUCCCCGGUGCACUCGGCGGCGUUCAGGCCAGCAUCGGUUUCGGGGGUGGGAUAAAGGCCUUGGGAAUGUAGCUUCUUUCGGGGAGUGUUAUAGCCCUCGGUGCAAUGCCGCCUCUUGGGACCGAGGACCGCGCUUCGGCUAGGAUGCUGGCGUAAUGGUUGUAAGCGAC
rnacentral:rRNA from 1 species